rnacentral:rRNA from 1 species
UUACGGGAGGCAGCAGUAGGGAAUUUUCCGCAAUGGGCGAAAGCCUGACGGAGCAACGCCGCGUGAGGGAUGAAGGUUUUCGGAUCGUAAACCUCUGUCUUCAGGGACGAUAAUGACGGUACCUGAGGAGGAAGCCACGGCUAACUACGUGCCAGCAGCCGCGGUAAUACGUAGGUGGCAAGCGUUGUCCGGAAUUACUGGGCGUAAAGGGCGUGUAGGCGGCCUUUUAAGUCAGACGUGAAAUCCAUGGGCUUAACCCAUGAAUUGCGUUUGAAACUGGAGGGCUUGAGGAUCGGAGAGGGCAGUGGAAUUCCCAGUGUAGCGGUGAAAUGCGUAGAUAUUGGGAGGAACACCAGUGGCGAAGGCGACUGCCUGGACGACACCUGACGCUGAGGCGCGAAAGCUAGGGGAGCAAACGGGAUUAGAUACCCCGGUAGUCCA